CCUACGGGAGGCAGCAGUGGGGAAUAUUGGGCAAUGGGCGCAAGCCUGACCCAGCAAUGCCGCGUGAAGGAAGAAGGCUUUCGGGUUGUAAACUUCUUUGUCAGGGGGAGUGCAGAAAUCGGUACCCUGAAAACAAGAUAUGGCUAACUACGUGCCAGCAGCCGCGGUAAUACGAAGGUGGCCAGCGUUAUCCGGAUUUAGUGGGUGUAACGGGCGUGUAGGCGGGAAGGCAAGUCAGAUGUGAAAUCUGGAGGCUUAACCUUCAAAUUGCAUUUGAAACUGUUUUUCUUGAGUACUGGAGAGGCAGACGGAAUGCGUGGUGUAGCGGUGAAAUGCGUAGAUAUAAGGAAGAACACCGGUGGCGAAGGCAGUCUGCUAGACAGCAACUGACAGUGAGGCGCGAAAGCGUGGGGAUCAAACAGGAUUAGAUACCCGGGUAGUC
rnacentral:rRNA from 1 species